rnacentral:rRNA from 1 species
GAUGAACGCUGACAGAAUGCUUAACACAUGCAAGUCAUUGGCGAAGCUGCGCUUGCGCAGUCUAGCCAAGGCGGACGGGUGAGUAACGCGUAAGGAACUUGCCCUGCAGACAGGGAUAACAGACGGAAACGACUGAUAACACCUGGUAUUGUCAGGCUGGCGCAUGCCGGCCUGAUGAAAGGAGACGCUGCAGGAGAGCCUUGCGUCCUAUUAGCUAGUUGGUGGGGUAACGGCCCACCAAGGCGAUGAUAGGUAGCCGGCCUGAGAGGGUGAACGGCCACAAGGGGACUGAGAUCCGGCCCUUACUCCUACGGGAGGCAGCAGUGGGGAAUAUUGGACAAUGGGGGCAACCCUGAUCCAGCAAUUCUGUGUGCACGAAGAAGGUUUUCGGAUUGUAAAGUGCUUUCAGCAGGGAAGAAGAAAGUGACGGUACCUGCAGAAGAAGCGACGGCUAAAUACGUG